AGUGAGCAAAACCCUCUCAGAAUCUCCCAACGGAUAACCUCACAUCUCGUUGGUCAGAGUUUUAUCACAUGCGCAUGAUUAACUCAACCCCUAGUAAAAAAUAACAGGACUAUCACAAUCAGCUUAAAGUGGACAUAAAUACCUCUCUGCCCAAAGUAUUUAACUGUUUGGUGAUUAAAAAUUUUAACUGGUAUUCAUACCUACAUUAUACUGGUGUCUAUAACUGAUCCAUAUGCUGCCAUUGCUACCACAGCUCUCACGUGUGAUGUCCAAGCAGGAAGCAGCUCCAUGUGUGAUCUGUGUAUCAGCUGUCAAUCUGCUACGCUGGUCUCCAGGAAUCUAGUCAGAUUCAAACCUGCUCCAUGUGUUUCAUCAUUCUGGAACCUGGGACCUGGAAGUGCUCUUCUUAUGAAGAUCACAGGAAAGCAGAUGAGUAAACCAAACUGUGCAAGCACACUUAAGCUCUCUGCUGCAACAUGUUUGCUAAUACUCAAUUCAAUAUUAUUGAAAACGAGUAAGGAAACAACAUGA
rnacentral:lncRNA from 1 species